AUCGCCCCGCCCCCGUCAAGGUCGCCUCUUUAUGUUGCUAGUGGAGAAAUGAUCUAGGGACUCGGCAGGCAAGAAAGCGCGACGCGCUUGGAGCGCGGAGGAGCAAGUGAGGCCAGAAGCAGCGGGGUCUGCGUCUUGCUUCUUCGUUGCUCGCCGGCAGCGGGUGAUGGUGGAGCGCAGAGAGUUUCCUUUCCCAGGGCUGGUCCUCCCGCUCCCAUUGAAGAUGUGGGUGAUAAUCAAACAGUGCCAGUGACGUAUCUAUGGCUGAGGAUGCACAGCUUCCCAUAGAAGCUGUUGGUGAUGGCCAGAGACGGAAGGAGUCACUGCAGAGGUCAUCCAACUGGCUCAGCUGCAGCUUCCUUCUUGCAUGUUCACCUUGAGCCCUGGGUGUGCUUGCUCUACCUAUCUAUGCUGACUCUGCCCAGCAGUCCCAGGAUGGCCUUGAAGGGUAUGCUUGGCACUGUUCUCAGGCAGGGAGCUCAUGAAUUGUCCAUGGUGCUGAUUGACCUGCUUUCUUCUGCAUCAAGACGCCCUUCUCUGGGGUUUAGCAGCCAUCAUCAGUGUGAAAAACCAUUUUCUUGCCCUCAAUAUGACAUGGAGCUGAGAAGAAUGUAUGGGUUUGGUGAGAAUAUUUGGGAGCAAUCUUAUUGAUGGCGUGGGCCACAUCUGUGGGAAAGCCCCUCAAAGAUGUCAGGACACCAUCAGGAUCCAUAAGUCACCAUGGGUAGACUAUCGUAAUUGUGCACAUACAGCUGUGGAGGUCUGACAUAGCAUGCAAUCCAAGCCCUAUCCUUUGCUGUAGCUUUUUGAGUUUUGUGUUUCAGUUCUGAGAUUGGCAAUGGAAAAUCAGCACCAUGAGGUGUACUGCAAUGUCAACUUGUUCAUAACCUCUUCCUUCUUCCAUAUAUGCCCUGAACAGAACACCAACAAACAAGUCCUUUGUAGCAAACAAGUCUGGCCUACCUUUGUGACACUUCUGUUCAGGGCUUUUUUCUUUUUUAGUACUAGGGCAUUCUUGCUCUGAGUUUGGCUACCUUUUAAGUUUUUAUCAGUAGUUUUGCACUGAAAGGAAUCCUUGUUUUUCUGCUUCCCCCCAACUCCCCAACUGUUUUCUAGUCACAUCUUCUGUUCCAUGUACUCCACAGUUAAACAAUUCCCAGUAAUCUGGCCAUCAUUUGUAUGAUCUUAUGUCACACACUAUGCAAUCUUUAAUGUCACUUAUAAGUGAUUUACACACCUCCCCAAAUUAAUUUUGAAUGAGUCUGAAAUGAUUUUCUCUUUUUACUCUUAAUUCUAGUGAACAAUUUGCAACUUCUAUAUGUGAUAUUUCUUCUGGAUAAACAGCUAAUGCUUCAGGUUUAG